rnacentral:rRNA from 1 species
GACGAACGCUGGCGGCGUGCCUAAUACAUGCAAGUCGAACGCUUCUUUCCUCCCGAGUGCUUGCACUCAAUUGGAAAGAGGAGUGGCGGACGGGUGAGUAACACGUGGGUAACCUACCCAUCAGAGGGGGAUAACACUUGGAAACAGGUGCUAAUACCGCAUAACAGUUUAUGCCGCAUGGCAUAAGAGUGAAAGGCGCUUUCGGGUGUCGCUGAUGGAUGGACCCGCGGCGCAUUAGCUAGUUGGUGAGGUAACGGCUCACCAAGGCCACGAUGCAUAGCCGACCUGAGAGGGUGAUCGGCCACACUGGGACUGAGACACGGCCCAGACUCCUACGGGAGGCAGCAGUAGGGAAUCUUCGGCAAUGGACGAAAGUCUGACCGAGCAACGCCGCGUGAGUGAAGAAGGUUUUCGGAUCGUAAAACUCUGUUGUUAGAGAAGAACAAGGACGUUAGUAACUGAACGUCCCCUGACGGUAUCUAACCAGAAAGCCACGGCUAACUACGUG